rnacentral:rRNA from 1 species
CGGCGGACGGGUGAGUAACACGUGGAUAACCUACCUAUAAGACUGGGAUAACUUCGGGAAACCGGAGCUAAUACCGGAUAAUAUAUUGAACCGCAUGGUUCAAUAGUGAAAGACGGUUUUGCUGUCACUUAUAGAUGGAUCCGCGCCGCAUUAGCUAGUUGGUAAGGUAACGGCUUACCAAGGCAACGAUGCGUAGCCGACCUGAGAGGGUGAUCGGCCACACUGGAACUAAGACACGGUCCAG